rnacentral:rRNA from 1 species
AUAAACGCUGGCGGCGUGCCUUAUGCAUGCAAGUCGAACGGUUUUGAUUUAUCAGAACAGUGGCGAAUGGGUGAGUAACGCGUUGGUAACCUGCCCUGAAGUGGGGGAUAACCUGGAGAAAUCCGGGCUAAUACCGCAUGUGGUGAUAAGACAAAAGUCUUAUCACUAAAGCCUUCGGGUGCUUGAGGAGGGGCCUGCGUCCGAUUAGCUAGUUGGUGAGGUAACGGCCCACCAAGGCUGAGAUCGGUAGCUGGUUUGAGAGGACGGCCAGCCACACUGGAACUGAGACACGGUCCAGACUCCUACGGGAGGCAGCAGCAAGGAAUCUUGGGCAAUGGGCGAAAGCCUGACCCAGCGACGCCGCGUGGAGGAAGAAGGCCUUCGGGUUGUAAACUCCUUUUCUCAGGGAAGAAUAAUGACGGUACCUGAGGAAUAAGUCUCGGCUAACUACGU